UACGGAAGGUAGCAGUGGGGAAUAUUGCACAAUGGGCGCAAGCCUGAUGCAGCCAUGCCGCGUGUAUGAAGAAGGCCUUCGGGUUGUAAAGUACUUUCAGUCGUGAGGAAGGUGUUAAGGUUAAUAACCUUAGCAAUUGACGUUAGCGACAGAAGAAGCAUCGGCUAACUCCGUGCCAGCAGCCGCGGUAAUACGGAGGGUGCGAGCGUUAAUCGGAAUUACUGGGCGUAAAGGGCACGCAGGCGGUUAAUUAAGUUGGAUGUGAAAUCCCCGGGCUUAACCUGGGAAUGGCAUUCAAGACUGGUUAGCUAGAGUCUUGUAGAGGGGGUAGAAUUCCAUGUGUAGCGGUGAAAUGCGUAGAGAUGUGGAGGAAUACCGGUGGCGAAGGCGGCCCCUGGACAAAGACUGACGCUCAUGUGCGAAAGCGUGGGGAGCAAACAGGGAUUAGAUACC
rnacentral:rRNA from 1 species